GUUGACCAACGUUUUAGGAUUGUUGGAUGUCGGCCUUCGCCAGGAUUGCAAUAAUUGUUUGCCACUUCAUCCAUGGUGCCAAAAUGUCACGUUCAUCUCUUCAUUCAUGUUAGACGCGUCAACCACAUUGUCAUCUCCAGAGCUGUUAAGACUACUAUUUAUUCAUUGAUUGUUAUGCAAGAAUAAGUUUUUGAACCAUUGUAUAUUUGAAUAAAUUUUGUUACAGAGAGAGGAGAUAUUGAGUAUAUGUUUGGGAGAAAACUUCAAACAUAUUGGUGUUAUUAUUGUGCCCAAUAGUGGAUGUAGGCUAUCAUUGGAGCCACUUAUAUUCUGGUAUUCUUUUAUUUAUUUAUGAGCUUAUCGGGCCUAUUGUAUAAUGCCUUCAUCAGUGGAGUAAACUGAUUGAAGGCUUCCUUUUCUUACAAUUGUGUUCUCGUAAACAUGAAUUAGUGGGGAGCUUCAAAGCCAUCUGAGGCAUUCUCAUUAUGGUGCCAAUUCUUGUUAUCCACAUCUUUUGGUGCUCUCAUUGAGAUACUUCAAACCCAAUUUCAAACCCAAUGAAUAAGUUUGAUGGAUUGCUCUAACUUUAAUAGGGAUUGAUUGUCGAUCGCUACCUUUGCACUAGCCAUCGGAAUGUUGCUUGCCUCUUCACAAUAGAAUUCUUUGUUAGGAUCUUGACAUAGUUUCAGAAGUUGUUUGAAAAAAUGGACAUUAUUGCAAACAAAUUUUUUAUUAGUCACACGUGUGUUGUCGCGGCCUUUGCUGCUUUAGUUUUUUCUCCUCAAAAUAUUAUUCAUGUUGCUAUUUUUGACCGACCCCGAUCGGACAAGUUGCUCUAACUAUAUUGACAUCUCAGACAAUAAAUCUCUGGGGGAAGCACCCCAUGGAGGAACCAUCAUACCGCCAUUGGAGUUUGUAACUUAUAACUUGUUCGUGUUGGAGGCCCUUUUGCCAAAACUAAAAAUCCUUCCUCUUGACCACUAUUUUUGCUGCCGUGACGAAGGACGCUAGGCGAAGAUGAUUUGUGAAGCUCUUGAUCGGCAUCAUCACCUCCUUUGACAGUCUGCACUAUCAAUUCGUGGUAGAGUUCAUCACUUCCAAGUGAGCAUUGAAAUCCACUCAGACCCUCUUUACAAUUGGAGAAGGGGAGAGAAGUCCCUCAGGGAUUACGUAUAUAUUUACAUAGGGUUCUAGGGAGGUGAUAAACUCUUAGGCGAGCUUCUCAAAGACAGCUUUCACUAUGGUCAUGCGUAAUUUUUUUUAAAGCAGAAAGAAGAACCCUGUGACUUUGGAAGAAAUGGUGGAGCGGGUACCCUGGUUUGUAGAUGUAGAGGAUUGGUUCUCCCAUGAUCCACUGGGAGAGGUUUCAAGCCACAAGAUUGCCCUUAUCAUCCCUUGAGCCUGAAGACUUCCUUGUGGUGGCAAAAUGAAAGGGAUCACUUGUCUGAUUGUCGCAUCAUCCCACAAGGUUGAGAAGAGCCAUGCCUUUUUUACGCCUUUGACGCAAAACAUAUAUUGAUGGAAUUCAACGAGGAUCGACAAGAUUUUCAUGUCGAUAUAUGGAAAAGUUUUAUUUAUGGUGGCUAAUUUGAUGAACUUUAUCGGAGAAUUAAAACUCUUUGAAUUCUGAUU